rnacentral:lncRNA from 1 species
AGACGGUGGCUCCGGUGGCUUCAUCAUUUCCAGAUCAAUUCCUGGCCGUGUGAUCUCUUUUCCAGAUCUAAUUUGGACGUUCCAUUGUUAUGACUUUUUAUACUGCCUCGUGUGUCUCAAUUGACUAAGGCAUAGGAUACACGCGCGCUGAGAGCCCUUGGAUUUGCCAAGUCAUUUAAUGAAAUGAAUCCAACGCGUGUUUUUUUUUCUUUUUUUUGAUUUAAUCCAUUUUAUUUUCUUAAUUCGAUUUUAUUUCAAAUAAUCAUAACUCUCUCAGUUUUAAUCCAAAAAUUAUGGGACCAAUUGCAUUAGUCUCC